rnacentral:rRNA from 1 species
CCUACGGGAGGCAGCAGUGAGGAAUAUUGGUCAAUGGGCGCGAGCCUGAACCAGCCAAGUCGCGUGAGGGAAGACGGUCCUAUGGAUUGUAAACCUCUUUUGUCGGGGAGCAAAAGACGCCACGCGUGGCGUUCCGUGAGUACCCGAAGAAAAAGCAUCGGCUAACUCCGUGCCAGCAGCCGCGGUAAUACGGAGGAUGCGAGCGUUAUCCGGAUUUAUUGGGUUUAAAGGGUGCGCAGGCGGAAGAUCAAGUCAGCGGUAAAAUUGAGAGGCUCAACCUCUUCGAGCCGUUGAAACUGGUUUUCUUGAGUGAGUGAGAAGUAGGCGGAAUGCGUGGUGUAGCGGUGAAAUGCAUAGAUAUCACGCAGAACUCCGAUUGCGAAGGCAGCAUACCGGCGCUCAACUGACGCUCAUGCACGAAAGUGUGGGUAUCGAACAGGAUUAGAUACCCUAGUAGUC